rnacentral:misc_RNA from 1 species
GCGUCGGUCAAUCGGGCGCAUCUUCUUUUAGUCGCGUCGCGAACUCCAUUACGACGCCACCGCGAGCUCUAUUUUGAAUUUCAGUCGCGAGCUUCGCGCUCCGAAAAUAUAUUUUUGAAUUUUUUUUCCGAAAUUUACAGUUUCCCGGGUCAAGUAGAAAUAAAGAUUUAAGUGACUUAUCUUCUUUUAAAUGCACUAUAGACGCAAGUGGCAACAAAAAUGCUGAAGAUGGAUAAGCAAAACAUAAAUAUUUUGUUAAACAUUAUUUUAGCUUUAAUCGCAGGAGCGACUGCCUCUGAACAGGAAUUAAUUACAACAGGAGAACUGAGAAAACUAUGUUCAAAAAGAGGCAAUGCAAUUCCACCACCAAGAAGAGUUAACAGCACCUUAAGAUUGCGUAACUUAAGAGAAAUGAUGAUAUCAGAGGUAAAACUAGGAACGCAUCCCAUAGACGCAUACUUGGUUACCUCCAGUGAUGAACACCAGAGCAUUGCUGUAGAGGAAUAUGAUACUCGUCGAGAGUUCAUAUCUGGGUUUAGCGGAAGUUAUGGAGAUGCGAUAAUAACGUUGAGUAAAGCCGCCCUGUGGACUGACGGUAGAUACCAUCUGCAAGCUGAUGAGGAACUUGACUGUAAUUGGUUAUUAAUGCGAGAAGGACUUAAGAAUGUUUCUACAAGAACGGAAUGGCUUAGGUCCGAAUUUCCAGAUGGUGGUCGAAUAGGAGCAAAUCCAAAAUUGAUAUCGGAGUACAUGUGGAAUAAAAUGGCGAACCAGUUGGCGCCGCAUAAAAUCGAACUUGUUGCCCUAAACGUGUGUUUAAUCGACGAAAUUUGGCCUAAAAAAGAAAGGCCCAAGAAGAGAAGUAAAAAUGCGUUUGUACUAGAUAUUAAAUAUGCUGGUGUAAAUUAUACCACAAAAAUAGAAGAAGUGAGGAAACUAGUUAAAAAAGCUGGAGCUGAUGCUAUGGUAGUUACCUCAUUAGAUGAAAUAGCAUGGCUACUAAACUUGAGAGGAAGAGACAUUCCAUACCCUCCAUUUGUAAAAAGCUACUUAUUUUUUGAUAUGAAUAACGUAUUCUUUUACGCUAAUUGGAACCAACUGGAGAAAAACAACGUUACAACAUACUUUCAUGCGCAGUCAGUUUUCCGACAUAAAGACACAGUACAAAUUAAAAACUAUACAGCCAUAUGGAACGACCUUCGUACGAAAUCACAGCUAUAUGAUAAAAUUUUGGUUGCUUCGCAUUGUGUCUACAGCGAAGGCGCUAGCCACGCCAUUUAUGAGCAUAUUUUUCCUGAAAAAAGACUGCCCCUACAAUCCCCGAUCAUUCAUCUUAAAUCUAUUAAAAAUGCUGUAGAAAUUCAAGGGAUGCAGGUCGCACAUGUUAAAGAUGGAGCUGCCAUGUGCGAUUUCUUCUCGUUUGUUGAGAUGGAGAUUUCCAAGGGACGAUCGUUUACGGAAAUCGAGCUUGUAGAAAUUCUGGAUGCAGGUCGUUUCCUUCAAGUAGACAGUCUUGGCAAUAGUUUCCCUACGAUCGUUGGGUUCGCUGGAAAUGGGGCUAAGCCUCAUUACAUUCCCACCAAUAACACCGAUUCCAGAAUUUUUAAUAAUGGCACCAUCGUCAUCGAGUCUGGGGGACAAUAUUUCGAGGGUACAACGAGCGUAACGCGUACAAUCCAUUACGGUGAACCGGAUGAAAAUAUGAAGGCAGCAUAUACAAGAGUUCUCCUAGGUCAAAUAGGUUUUUCAACUUUAACAUUUCCACCUAAUAUGAAAAUAGCAGAUGCCGAUAUUCUCGUGAGAGGCCCCCUGUGGGAGGUUGGCCUGGAUUACCUGCACGAAUCGGGCCAUGGAAUUGGGUCAUUUGCUGGAGCUAAAGAAUGUGGGUUAACAUUAAAUUACGCUACGAACUAUUAAUAAAUUUAUUAGAAGUAUAACAGGGUGGUGGUCUUUAUAGAUAGACUUAAGAAAAACCCUCUGUAUAUGCAGGAAAAAUACCCCCAAUCGCUAUACAGUAUGACUUGGAAGUAUCAACAAAGCAGACUUUUAAACCAGGGUAUUUUUUCACCAUAGAACCCGGUUAUUACAAAGAAGGCUAUUUUGGAGUACGACUG